rnacentral:rRNA from 1 species
GAUGAACGCUGGCGGCGUGCCUAAUACAUGCAAGUCGAGCGAACGGACGAGAAGCUUGCUUCUCUGAUGUUAGCGGCGGACGGGUGAGUAACACGUGGAUAACCUACCUAUAAGACUGGGAUAACUUCGGGAAACCGGAGCUAAUACCGGAUAAUAUUUUGAACCGCAUGGUUCAAAAGUGAAAGACGGUCUUGCUGUCACUUAUAGAUGGAUCCGCGCUGCAUUAGCUAGUUGGUAAGGUAACGGCUUACCAAGGCAACGAUGCAUAGCCGACCUGAGAGGGUGAUCGGCCACACUGGAACUGAGACACGGUCCAGACUCCUACGGGAGGCAGCAGUAGGGAAUCUUCCGCAAUGGGCGAAAGCCUGACGGAGCAACGCCGCGUGAGUGAUGAAGGUCUUCGGAUCGUAAAACUCUGUUAUUAGGGAAGAACAUAUGUGUAAGUAACUGUGCACAUCUUGACGGUACCUAAUCAGAAAGCCACGGCUAACUACGUGCCAGCAGCCGCGGUAAUACGUANGUGGCAAGCGUUAUCCGGAAUUAUUGGGCGUAAAGCGCGCGUAGGCGGUUUUUUAAGUCUGAUGUGAAAGCCCACGGCUCAACCGUGGAGGGUCAUUGGAAACUGGAAAACUUGAGUGCAGAAGAGGAAAGUGGAAUUCCAUGUGUAGCGGUGAAAUGCGCAGAGAUAUGGAGGAACACCAGUGGCGAAGGCGACUUUCUGGUCUGUAACUGACGCUGAUGUGCGAAAGCGUGGGGAUCAAACAGGAUUAGAUACCCUGGUAGUCCACGCCGUAAACGAUGAGUGCUAAGUGUUAGGGGGUUUCCGCCCCUUAGUGCUGCAGCUAACGCAUUAAGCACUCCGCCUGGGGAGUACGACCGCAAGGUUGAAACUCAAAGGAAUUGACGGGGACCCGCACAAGCGGUGGAGCAUGUGGUUUAAUUCGAAGCAACGCGAAGAACCUUACCAAAUCUUGACAUCCUUUGACAACUCUAGAGAUAGAGCUUUCCCCUUCGGGGGACAAAGUGACAGGUGGUGCAUGGUUGUCGUCAGCUCGUGUCGUGAGAUGUUGGGUUAAGUCCCGCAACGAGCGCAACCCUUAAGCUUAGUUGCCAUCAUUAAGUUGGGCACUCUAAGUUGACUGCCGGUGACAAACCGGAGGAAGGUGGGGAUGACGUCAAAUCAUCAUGCCCCUUAUGAUUUGGGCUACACACGUGCUACAAUGGACAAUACAAAGGGCAGCGAAACCGUGAGGUCAAGCAAAUCCCAUAAAGUUGUUCUCAGUUCGGAUUGUAGUCUGCAACUCGACUACAUGAAGCUGGAAUCGCUAGUAAUCGUAGAUCAGUAUGCUACGGUGAAUACGUUCCCGGGUCU